GGAGGCAUAGCUCAGUGGAAGGGUGCCUGCCUAGCAAGCACCAGGCCCUGAGUUCCACCCAGUGCCACCA
rnacentral:tRNA from 1 species